rnacentral:rRNA from 1 species
CCUACGGGAGGCAGCAGUGGGGAAUAUUGGGCAAUGGGCGCAAGCCUGACCCAGCAACGCCGCGUGAAGGAAGAAGGCUUUCGGGUUGUAAACUUCUUUUGACAGGGAAGAGUAGAAGACGGUACCCCUUGAAUAAGCCACGGCUAACUACGUGCCAGCAGCCGCGGUAAUACGUAGGUGGCAAGCGUUGUCCGGAUUUACUGGGUGUAAAGGGCGUGCAGCCGGAGAGACAAGUCAGAUGUGAAAUCCACGGGCUCAACCCGUGAACUGCAUUUGAAACUGUUUCCCUUGAGUGUCGGAGAGGUAAUCGGAAUUCCUUGUGUAGCGGUGAAAUGCGUAGAUAUAAGGAAGAACACCAGUGGCGAAGGCGGAUUACUGGACGAUAACUGACGGUGAGGCGCGAAAGCGUGGGGAGCAAACAGGAUUAGAUACCCUAGUAGUC